CAGUAGCCCGGUAAUACGUAGGGUGCGAGCGUUAAUCGGAAUUACUGGGCGUAAAGCGUGCGCAGGCGGUUGUGUAAGACAGGUGUGAAAUCCCCGGGCUUAACCUGGGAACUGCGCUUGUGACUGCACAGCUAGAGUAUGGCAGAGGGGGGUGGAAUUCCACGUGUAGCAGUGAAAUGCGUAGAGAUGUGGAGGAACACCGAUGGCGAAGGCAGCCCCCUGGGCCAAUACUGACGCUCAUGCACGAAAGCGUGGGGAGCAAACAGGAUUAGAUACCCCCGUAGUCCCUGUCUCUUAUACC
rnacentral:rRNA from 1 species